rnacentral:piRNA from 1 species
UAUGAUGGUCCCCUUACACUGAGCUUC